rnacentral:rRNA from 1 species
GAGCGAACGCUGGCGGCAGGCCUAACACAUGCAAGUCGAACGAACUCUUCGGAGUUAGUGGCGGACGGGUGAGUAACACGUGGGAACGUGCCUUUAGGUUCGGAAUAACUCAGGGAAACUUGUGCUAAUACCGAAUGUGCCCUUCGGGGGAAAGAUUUAUCGCCUUUAGAGCGGCCCGCGUCUGAUUAGCUAGUUGGUGAGGUAAAGGCUCACCAAGGCGACGAUCAGUAGCUGGUCUGAGAGGAUGAUCAGCCACAUUGGGACUGAGACACGGCCCAAACUCCUACGGGAGGCAGCAGUGGGGAAUCUUGCGCAAUGGGCGAAAGCCUGACGCAGCCAUGCCGCGUGAAUGAUGAAGGUCUUAGGAUUGUAAAAUUCUUUCACCGGGGACGAUAAUGACGGUACCCGGAGAAGAAGCCCCGGCUAACUUCGUG